GACGUAGGGCGCGAGCGUUGUCCGGAUUUAUUGGGCGUAAAGAGCUCGUAGGCGGCUUGUCGCGUCGUUUCGUGAAAACCUGCGGCUCAACUGCAGGCUUGCGGUCGAUACGGGCAGGCUGGAGUUCGGUAGGGGAGACUGGAAUUCCUGGUGUAGCGGUGAAAUGCGCAGAUAUCAGGAGGAACACCGGUGGCGAAGGCGGGGUCC
rnacentral:rRNA from 1 species